rnacentral:rRNA from 1 species
GCGCAACCCUCGUCGUAUGUUAUAUGUGUCGUACGAGACUGCCGGUAAAAAGCCGGAGGAAGGUGAGGAUGAUGUCAAGUCAGCAUGACCUUUAUAUCCAGGGCUACACACACGCUACAAUGGUCAGCACAAAGGGCAGCAAAGGGGCAACCCGGAGCAAAUCCCAAAAAACAGGUCUCAGUUCGGAUUGCAGGCUGCAACUCGCCUGCAUGAAGUCGGAAUCGCUAGUAAUCGCAGGUCAGCAUACUCGCGGUUCGAAUACGUUCCCGGGCCUU